rnacentral:rRNA from 1 species
GCCUUAGUAACUGCGAGUGAAGCGGCAACAGCUCAAAUUUGAAAUCUGGCGCUUCUUGGACCCGAGUUAAUUUUUGUUAAAAUUUUUGGUCCGCGCUGGACCGUGUAUUCCUCUCCUGGAAUGGAGCGGCAGAAAGGGUGACAAUCCCGUCUUUGACACGGACUACCAGGGCUUUGCGAUACGCUCUCGAAGAUUCGAGUUGUUUGGSAAYGCAGCUSAAAAUGKSUGKUAAAUUCCAUCUAAAGCUGAAUAUUGACAACAAACCCAUAGCGAGAAAGUACCAUGAAGGAAAAAUGAAAAGAACUUUG